rnacentral:rRNA from 1 species
AUUGAACGCUGGCGGCAGGCCUAACACAUGCAAGUCGAGCGGAUGAAGGGAGCUUGCUCCUGGAUUCAGCGGCGGACGGGUGAGUAAUGCCUAGGAAUCUGCCUGGUAGUGGGGGAUAACGUCCGGAAACGGGCGCUAAUACCGCAUACGUCCUGAGGGAGAAAGCGGGGGAUCUUCGGACCUCACGCUAUCAGAUGAGCCUAGGUCGGAUUAGCUAGUUGGUGGGGUAAAGGCCUACCAAGGCGACGAUCCGUAACUGGUCUGAGAGGAUGAUCAGUCACACUGGAACUGAGACACGGUCCAGACUCCUACGGGAGGCAGCAGUGGGGAAUAUUGGACAAUGGGCGAAAGCCUGAUCCAGCCAAGCCGCGUGGGUGAAGAAGGUCUUCGGAUUGUAAAGCACUUUUAGUUGGGAGGAAGGGCAGUAAGUUAAUACCUUGCUGUUUUGACGUUACCAACAGAAUAAGCACCGGCUAACUUCGUG